rnacentral:rRNA from 1 species
UACGUAGGGGGCAAGCGUUGUCCGGAUUUAUUGGGCGUAAAGAGCGUGUAGGCGGCCACACAGGUCUGCUGUGAAAACUCGAGGCUCAACCUCGAGCUGUCGGUGGAAACCGUGUGGCUAGAGUCCGGAAGAGGAGAGUGGAAUUCCCGGUGUAGCGGUGAAAUGCGCAGAUAUCAGGAGGAACACCGAUGGCGAAGGCAGAUCUCUGGGCCGUAACUGACGCUGAGGAGCGAAAGCGUGGGGAGCGAACAGG